UCGGACGUGGUGCACUGUGCACACCCGCUCGCACUGAAAGUGCUCGUGGUUAUGACGCGGGAAGCCUGGGUUCGAUUCCCAGCGUCCGAA